rnacentral:rRNA from 1 species
UACAGAGGUCCCAAGCGUUGUUCGGAUUCACUGGGCGUAAAGGGUGCGUAGGUGGCCAGGUAAGUUUGGUGUGAAAGCUCGGAGCUUAACUCCGAAGAGUCAUUGAAUACUAUCUGGCUGGAGGGUCGGAGGGGAGACUGGAAUUCUCGGUGUAGCAGUGAAAUGCGUAGAUAUCGAGAGGAACACCAGUGGCGAAGGCGAGUCUCUGGACGACACCUGACACUGAGGCACGAAAGCUAGGGGAGCAAACAGG